UACGGGGGGGGUAAGCGUUGUUCGGAAUUACUGGGCGUAAAGGGCUCGUAGGCGGCCAACUAAGUCAUACGUGAAAUCCCUCAGCUUAACUGGGGAACUGCGUGUGAUACUGGAUGGCUUGGAUUUGGGAGAGGGAUGCGGAAUUCCUAGUGUAGCGGUGAAAUGCGCAGAUAUUAGGAGGAACACCGGUGGCGAAGGCGCCACUCUGGGCCGAAACUGACGCUGAGGAGCGAAAGCGUGGGUAGCAAACAGG
rnacentral:rRNA from 1 species